UUGAUCUGAUCAACUGCAAGAUCAUGACCUACAGUUGAAAACAAGGGUUGGAUGCUUAAACUACUGAGCCAUCCAGAUGCCCCCAAGAUGUUUUAAAAAGUUAAAUCUCAGACACUAUCUCAAAGAAAUUUAAGAUCUUUUUUUAGUAAGAUAUCGACAUAAAUGUUUUUCAGUGUCUAAGCAUUUCUUAUGAAUUCUUCUGGUUCAAUUCAACUGUUUCUGUUUCUGAUCAACUAGGAGGGACUAUAACCUCAAAUACAAGAUGAGAAAGAACUACCACAUGCAAGUGUUUUUCCAGAUUUGGCCACAAGGGGGCUAUAAAUAAUAACCUACAAAUUGUGCCCUCUAAAACCUCUCAUCUGGACACCUUUGCCAUGAUUUUUGUCAACUCUUCCAGUUUCCCCACUCCAAGAUACAGAAACUUGUUCCUGACCCAAGUAGGAAGACUGACUGGAUACCUUCUAUGGACAGAUGUGAAGAUGACCAUAUACCAACUCACAGGACCAAUUUAAGAAUUUCAUUAAAGGCCACCUGGGUGGCCCAGUCAGUUAGGCAUCCAGCUUCAGCUCAGGUCAUGAUCUCUCCAUUCCCAAAUUUAAGCCCUGCAUCGGGCUCUGUGCUGAUAGCUCAGAGCCUGGAGGCUGUUUCAG